GUUCACUUUUCUUCCAAGUUCGAAUCAGUUAACAACGUGGUCGUUGCUCCCAGUACCACAACUUUUUACUGAAACUAGAUAACAAUUUUGUGUAAAUGACUAUUGUGGCAUUCCAACAUUUGGCCAGGUGCCUUUGAACAAUUAAAUCAAACAAAAUGAUGAUGAGAAAUGUUUAUAGUUUGUUCACAGUCAAGUGUGUGCUGAAUCUCUUUGAUGAAAACUUGAGUAGCAUGGAGAAACUUAAAUUGUGUGCUGAAACUUGGGAAUUGCAUAAAAUAUCUCAUUUCAGUGACUGAAACUUCAGCUGUUACUGAAAACUUGAUUUGUUGCAAAAUGCUGGUCGAACACAUUCAUAAAAUUACAUCACUUCCCCUAGAGACUUCAGAUGAAAUCCACUUCAAGAUCGAAAUCAACUAUAGAAUGUCCCAGCUGCAUCCUCCCCAUCAUCUUCUUUCGAUUAAGGGAAAAACAAACGAUACGUGGGAAAUACGAAAACAAUCAUGACAGCGCCAACAAUUAUCACAAUUGAAACGGACAAACAUUUGCGGUGAACAUUAUCGGCCUUGGACUUUGAAACGAAAUGACUUUGACUCGACUUUGAGACUCGCUGGAUGUUCCUCUGGCCGGAACGUGAAUUGUCAGCCGAUCUAUCGAAAUGUAUUAUCAAUCCAUCAUCGAGAGCGUAGUGUAUAAUUCUCUCUGCUCUUCUUGUUUUUUUUUAAGAAAUGAAUCAAUGAUGUCGUUACGGAGAACGUUCACCCGGAUAGAGGAAUGCCGAAUCAGCAAGUAGAAUGCGCAUUGAACUUGUAAUGCGCAUUUUCGUCUGCCAACGUUGAAAUUCCACGGCUGACUCGAGUCUUAUCACGACAGUUGAAUUUCUAAUGCAACAUAGUACCCACUAGAUCAGAGAUCCUA